UGCGGGUUAGAGAAGUGGUCAUCUCAUCGGUCUCAUAAACCGGGAAUCGUUGGUUCGAAUCCAACACGCCGCAACCA
rnacentral:tRNA from 1 species